AGAGUUUGAUCCUGGCUCAGGAUGAACGCUGGCGGCGUGCUUAACACAUGCAAGUCGAGCGAAGCACUUAUGAUGAUCCUUCGGGUGAUUCAUUUGUGACUGAGCGGCGGACGGGUGAGUAACGCGUGAGUAACCUGCCUCAUACAGGGGAAUAACAGUUAGAAAUGACUGCUAAUGCCGCAUAAGCGCACAGGGCCACAUGGCCCGGUGUGAAAAACUCCGGUGGUAUGAGAUGGACUCGCGUCUGAUUAGCUAGUUGGCAGGGUAACGGCCUACCAAGGCGACGAUCAGUAGCCGGCCUGAGAGGGUGAACGGCCACAUUGGGACUGAGACACGGCCCAAACUCCUACGGGAGGCAGCAGUGGGGAAUAUUGCACAAUGGGGGAAACCCUGAUGCAGCGACGCCGCGUGAGUGAAGUAGUAUUUCGGUAUGUAAAGCUCUAUCAGCAGGGAAGAAAAUGACGGUACCUGACUAAGAAGCCCCGGCUAACUACGUGCCAGCAGCCGCGGUAAUACGUAGGGGGCAAGCGUUAUCCGGAUUUACUGGGUGUAAAGGGAGCGUAGACGGCUUUGCAAGUCUGACGUGAAACUCCGGGGCUCAACUCCGGAACUGCGUUGGAAACUGUAAGGCUUGAGUGCCGGAGAGGUAAGCGGAAUUCCUAGUGUAGCGGUGAAAUGCGUAGAUAUUAGGAGGAACACCAGUGGUGAAGGCGGCUUACUGGACGGCAACUGACGUUGAGGCUCGAAAGCGUGGGGAGCAAACAGGAUUAGAUACCCUGGUAGUCCACGCGGUAAACGAUGAAUACUAGGUGUUGGGGGACAAAGUCCUUCGGUGCCGCCGCAAACGCAUUAAGUAUUCCACCUGGGGAGUACGUUCGCAAGAAUGAAACUCAAAGGAAUUGACGGGGACCCGCACAAGCGGUGGAGCAUGUGGUUUAAUUCGACGCAACGCGAAGAACCUUACCAAGUCUUGACAUCCUGUGACAGACGUAGAAAUACGUUCUUCCUUCGGGACACAGAGACAGGUGGUGCAUGGUUGUCGUCAGCUCGUGUCGUGAGAUGUUGGGUUAAGUCCCGCAACGAGCGCAACCCUUAUGGUCAGUUACUACGCAAGAGGACUCUGGCCAGACUGCCGUUGACAAAACGGAGGAAGGUGGGGAUGACGUCAAAUCAUCAUGCCCUUUAUGACUUGGGCUACACACGUACUACAAUGGCGUUAAACAAAGAGAAGCAAGACCGCGAGGUGGAGCAAAACUCAGAAACAACGUCCCAGUUCGGACUGCAGGCUGCAACUCGCCUGCACGAAGUCGGAAUUGCUAGUAAUCGUGGAUCAGCAUGCCACGGUGAAUACGUUCCCGGGCCUUGUACACACCGCCCGUCACACCAUGAGAGCCGGGGGGACCCGAAGUCGGUAGUCUAACCGCAAGGAGGACGCCGCCGAAGGUAAAACUGGUGAUUGGGGUGAAGUCGUAACAAGGUA
rnacentral:rRNA from 1 species